UCCUGCAGCUGAUGACAUAGUUGUUUUCCCCUCAGAUCGACCCUAUUGAUCUAACUGAACUAUUUAUUAGCCAGUUUUGUCUGACGCAUUGGA